rnacentral:lncRNA from 1 species
CUGCGGAGGCCCUGAAGUCGAUGAGAGGUGAGAAGCAGGUGUGAAUAAUUCAGGCUCCAGGCAGAAGACAAGGCGGGCUAGGGCCUGUCAGGCAAAGGAAGACACACACUCGGAGCUCUGAGAUACCAAAGUAGAUGCUGCGGAGGAAGAAAUAAUUUAUUGCAAACUGGUCUUCAGUAACGAACUACAGAAAUGAUUCCUGAAAGUAUAGUCUUGCAAAGUGGUCUUUAGGAAGGCUUCCCAGAGAAAGUGGAUAAAUCUGGAGAAUAGGAGGGUAAUCCCAAAAAGGAAGAGAAGAAUAAGGAAAGGGCAGGGACAGCCAAGGCCCUCAGGAUAAUAUCUCAUGAGAGCAUGCUGGAUACUGGCAAAGACCUGGUGUGAGUUGAGACUGGCCAGACUGGGCAAGUCUAGAUACUGGAGGAUCUUAAAUGCCAGGAGCAGAGUGGACAGGGUGGUGCUUUUUGGAUGAUGUCAGGUAGGUUGACUCUUCGGAAAAUCCAAGACAGGUCAGGCUUGCGAAUGAAGCCAUCUGGGGAAUAAGGUAAAUAUUGAGAUCAUAGCAGCAUGUCCUGCCUCCCAUAUCAGCAUCAGCUUCCGUAUCAGCAUCAGCAUCACCCAGAGACACACAAGUGAAAUGAGAGGGUGUUUGUCAGUAGUUCCAGAAACCUAAGACAAGCUUGAUAUAUUUCUACUGAAGUGAAAAAGAAAAUGACCAGUGUUUUGUUUAGAGGAGAAAGAAGAGGAGGAGGAGACGCUGGAAUGUAUCGGAGUUUCCACUAGCAUUACCACUUACUCCUCUGGACUCACAGGACGAAGGGACAGAGAAGGCUGCCCCUGCACCAGUACCACCACAGAAGCCUUUCUAGGAUGACCAGUCCUCCCUCAGAUGUCAAAGACAGUACUGAGUGAGCUGAACAGAAUGUCACCACCAAGGGUUCACAAGGAUCUUGGAGCCCUCUCUGACUAUGCAUCUGGGUGAGGACUGGGAUGGGUGGGCAACAGAGGGGGUCCAGAUCAGCAUACGCCCUUGCCACUGGGGCAGGGACAGGUAAAUUCCAUGUUAACUCUUACCUAUGAGGUGGCUCCGGUCAAUUCUCAGCCUCAGUUUUCUCAGCUGCACAGUGAGGGUGCCGGCUGCCUGCAGCAUUGCUGGGAAAGAUGGGAUAAAAUACCAGGAGACAGGGGCUGGUGAGAUGGCUCAGUGGUUAAGAGCGCCAACUGCUCUUCCAAAGGUCCCGAGUUCAAAUCCCA